rnacentral:rRNA from 1 species
UGUAGAGAAUCUGCCCUGUACUGGGGGACAACAGAGGGAAACUUCUGCUAAUACCCCAUAUGAGCGUACCUGCGAUGGUAUUCUUGAAAGUUCCGGCGGUACAGGAUGAGUCUGCAUCUGAUUAGCUAGUUGGUGGUGUAAUAGACUACCAAGGCGACGAUCAGUAGCUGGUUUGAGAGGAUGAUCAGCCACAAUGGGACUGAGACACGGCCCAUACUCCUACGGGAGGCAGCAG